rnacentral:rRNA from 1 species
GACGAACGCUGGCGGCGUGCUUAACACAUGCAAGUCGAACGGAAAGGCCCUGCUUUUGUGGGGUGCUCGAGUGGCGAACGGGUGAGUAACACGUGAGUAACCUGCCCUUGACUAUGGGAUAACUUCAGGAAACUGGGGCUAAUACCGGAUAGGAGCUCCUGCUGCAUGGUGGGGGUUGGAAAGUUUCGGCGGUUGGGGAUGGACUCGCGGCUUAUCAGCUUGUUGGUGGGGUAGUGGCUUACCAAGGCUUUGACGGGUAGCCGGCCUGAGAGGGUGACCGGCCACAUUGGGACUGAGAUACGGCCCAGACUCCUACGGGAGGCAGCAGUGGGGAAUAUUGCACAAUGGGCGGAAGCCUGAUGCAGCAACGCCGCGUGCGGGAUGACGGCCUUCGGGUUGUAAACCGCUUUCGCCUGUGACGAAGCGUGAGUGACGGUAAUGGGUAAAGAAGCACCGGCUAACUACGUG